ACAUUACACAAUCUUUAAAAACAAUACAGUAUCUUUGUUUGAACGCCAUAAAAUGAUUCCCAUACAGAAUACCGCAAUUCCUGGCCUAAAGAGCGCACCUGGUGAUAAGACACGGUACACAGAAAGAGUUUAACACUAGCGCGGUGGUGCUAAUGCUAACGCGGUGGUGCUAACACUAAUACGGCGGCGCUAAUGCUAACACGACGGCACUAACGCUAACGCGCCGGUGUUAACGCUAACGCGGCAGAGCUAACGCUAACACGGCGACACUAAUGCAGUGGUGCUAACGCUAAUACAGCGGCGCUAAUGCUAAUGCGGUCGUGCUAACGCUAACGCUAACGCGGCGGCUGUGAAAAAAGUCAAGGCUUGUAGACCGGGAAUUAUGAUUGGCGAGUUUCAGUGGAAACAGCUUUUUCCCUGGCUUUUAUCCCAUUGUCUUCGAGAGGAAGUCUCCUCCGACUCGGACGGGAGGCGAAGAGCAACAAGAGUAACGGCGAGAUAUGUGACAAUGAACAAGGUCGACCCAGUCACCCGGCAUCAGAGCGGCCGAAUCGUACGAGGAGCAGAGGGGUCCCACGAUAUGAGUGAUGAACGACUCCUGUAGUUUUGCGAGCUGUGGUGCUGACCGGUCCAUGAAUGGGCUGAUGGGAAGCCCCAGGCUUGCUUCCUCAUCCCCCUGGAAAGGGUUGCGGGAAAGCUGGAGCCUAUCCCAGCUAGCUUUGGGCUAAAGGCGGACUACACCCUGAACUGGUCGCCAGUCAGUCGCAGGGAAGAUAUCGACACCAUCACUGAGCGGGAAUCGAUGCCACGCUGCCCGCACCUAAGGCAGGCAUGCGUACCACUACAUUAUCCGAGACAAUUAUUAUGUUACAUACUGCUAUGUGAAUCAUUUGUAUAAAAAAAAAAUAAUAACAAAUGAAUCAAAACAUUCUACAAGGAUGCAAAGCAACGCAUUGGCUGGUUAAAACUACAGUCGGUAAAUCUUCGUAAAUGUUAUAAGAUAAUGUUAAUUUCCCUAUUUUAUACUUCUUAGCUUUAUGAAAAGCUCUUGAAAAAUCCAUAAUGAAUUUUUAUAAUUUAACAUCCACCCUGCACCACUAACAACCCAAAAUACAACAACCGUACAUAUGUUCGACACACUGAAUCACGUGGAUUAUGAUUUGAAAGGACGCGCCGCACGCCAAAAACAAUUCAAAGUUCUGGAGAUGUUUGUCGUUCAUUUCUUUGCUCACUUUGUACUCUGUCAACAAAGACGUGCUGCACAAUGGCUGCGUCUUCAUAUAACCAUUAUGGCUCCACGUGAAUGGAAAAUAUUAUUUUUUUUCCCCAAUGCGAGAUAAAAUGAAUCACAUUAUUAUUGAAAAAGGAGGUAUUAUAUUCUGAAGAUUUUUUUUUUUUUAAGUGGAACCAUCCUGCAUCCUUUCCUCACUUUCUCACCAAAGACAUGCUUCCAUAUUGUCACUAUUUUAUUUCUAGUUAUUCAAAUUUUCAGGUGAAUUGAGUUUGUCCUGUGCUCAGACUGCCACGAGUUAUUGUUUGCGCUACUCAUUUAAUGUGAAGCAUUUAGUUUUUUCGUUACGUCAGUGAAUUCAGAAGCAAUUAAUAUGGAGAACGUAAAGGCGAGGGCUUGAUCGCUAUGGCAACCAGAAGCCUGGAUUUCAUCACUGCACACACAGACACACACACGGCUCACGUUCGAGCUGCGUUGUGUAUAAUACACAAUAUAUAGUGAAAUAUAUGGUGGGUAGUAUUGGAUAUUAAAGUGGAUUGCAGGGGAUCAUUUCAAUAAAAAUUGAUUUAUGCGGCCACUUUAUAUCUGUUGGAUCAAGGACAACAUACAGCAUUUGGGUCACUUGAGUUCAAUUAUUUGAAGAGAAAAGUGCGUGCUGUACUGGAUCUACGUCCUCCGCUUUCUUAACAACAACAACGAUGUUGUGCAAACUAAGUGGAUGAAAAAAAAGCAUUUUCACCGCUGUGAUGAUGACAACCUCACAGGGUUGUAGUAGAAGACUUUACAAAUGGCACUAAGCAAAAAAUGGCACAGAAAAUAUGAAUACAAGGGGGCAUACUCGAGGGGAAAAAGGUAAGAAUGAGAACGGUGGAAUGUAUGUACCGAGGAAGUGACUUUUACCGGCCAUGUUAGCGCUGUGCUAGUGUGUUGCAGGCGUGUCUCAGUGAUAUUUACAGGUAAGUUUUAUUUUAACCGGCGGAAGUAUGUCUUAUGACCAUAUUUAGUCAUGUAUGCACAAUUUCCUCGUGUCCUCGCUCUGCUCUGUAUUCAGAUGUGUCCUUGAGUGAUAUCCGCAAUUCUGCACGAAGGCUAACCUUGCUGAAUUGUAUACUGGACACUUUGUAAUAAUCCAUUGCCAGCUAGAACCCAUUGAGACAGAAACCCUUUGUAUAAGUGGAAAGCCCCGAUGUCAUGCCACAGGUUUGAUACCGCUCACAGUACGGUCAAGAUAAAGGAUGUGACCUUUGCACUUGUGAUCUGCUCUCUCCAGCCAUUGUCUGUAACUCAUAAGUGCACCGGAAUAUUCCUUAAGUAAAUGCUUCAAAGAAACUGUUCAUCGUCUCCAGCCUUUAUUUGGAUCACCAACAUUCUCACUACCCGUAAUGAAAUGAACAUGCGGAGGGAAAAAAAACAGCCUCCAACACGGCCCUUUUAGCGUUAGCAAUAGCUUUAGCGCGCUUUAAAUUCUGAAACUGACUUUCUUACGUGAUUUUAAAAUACCUGUAAUGUCAUUUACUCCAAUAAAUCAAAACAAAAAUAUUUAAUGUAUGUGUAAUGAACUACGUCUGAAAUUUGCCACAGUCACGUAGUCCUUGAUACGAUUGGUGCUCACGAAGUAGCCCUCAGCCUCAAAAAGGUCAGUGUUAGCGCCGCGCUAGCGUUAAACUCUGUAUACCGUCUUUCUUUGUAAAUAUCACGCGUUUCAAUGUGGGCAUUUGCGGCUUUUUACACAGCUGCCGCGUACCGUACGUACCAAACGGUAUUUCUUUUACAAAUGUUCUCGGUGAAGCUUGUAACCAGGUGCGCUCUGUAGGCCGGGAAUUACGGUAAUUAUUCCGUUUAUCAAUAUAUGUUGAUGCCAUAGAUAAAUGAAGGUAUUUUUUAUUUAAAGGGGAAAUCCAGUGCACCCGGAGAACAAACAGGUCAAAAACCAAUGUUGGGUCCAAAACCAACGUAAGUUUGCAGCUGCUACCACUUACCCACACACGAAGCUUUUUCUUUGGAACGUCUACCCUCAGGGAUUUUCUGUAACAAUUUAUAGAGUUUACUGUAUUUUACGACAAUAAUGCCUUUGUUCAGUACAUUAAAAAGCAAAAUUGUCUGAAAGGGCCAUUUGUAAUGUAGUGCUCUUGUGCUAGUCAUUAAUCAAUUCACAACAACUAUGUGACUGACUGAUUAGUGAUUUGUACAGUGUAUAGUCCUCCUUUUGCUCUAAUUCAGUUAUACAUACUCGAGUUUAUCAUCCUGAACAGGAAGUGGUAAAUAAAAAGGUCGGACUUAUCUCAAUCAUAAGUGCUUUUUUUUAUUUAUUUUAAUCAUCCGUUGCUAAGCAAAUAAUCACAUCUCUUUUGUGCUCUUGACUCUUCAUCAGCCAACUGAAGUAAACCAAUCAAUGCGGUUUUUGCUUGACGGCAAGAUUUGUUUCAAGCCAUAUUCAAACAAAAAUAGAUUGGAAAUGAAUUUGUGAGCCUGCAGGUACAUUUUAUGUCCCUCUCUGCAAAGGUAGCAGUUUCACAUAGUCUUAAGAAUGUAUGUGUACUCACCAAACACUGCAUUAGAUAUACAGUGAAGAAAAUAAGUAUUUGAACACCCUGCUAAGUUCCAAGUUCUCCCACUUAGAAAUCAUGGAGGGGUCUGAAAUUUUCAGCGUAAAACAGAAGGACUUGAUGGUUUGAAAUCACGCAUGGCACGGAAGGUUCCCCCUGCUGAAACCAGCACAUGUCAAGGCUCGUCUUAAGCUUGCCAAUCACCAUUUGGAUUAUACAAAGGAGUCAUGGGAGAACAUUUUGUGGUCAGAUGAGACCAAAAUGUAACUUUUUGGUCAUAAUUCCACUAACCGUGUUUGGAGGAAGACGAAUGAUGAGUUCCAUCUCAAGAACACCAUCCCUACUGUGCAGCAUGGGGGUGGUCGCAUCAUGUUUUGGGGCUGUUUUUCUGCACAUGGGACCGGACGACUGAACUGUAUUAAGGAGAGGAUGACCGCGGCCAUGUAUUGUGAGAUUCUGGGGAACAAGCUCUUUCCCUCAGUCAGAGCAUUGAAGAUGGAUCGUGGUUGGGUCUUUCAGCAUGACAAUGACCCGAAGCACACAGCCAGGAAAACCAAGGAGUGGCUCCGUAAGAAGCAUUUCAAGGUUCUAGCCAGUCUCCACACUUAAGCCCAGUAGAAAAUCUUUGGAGCGGGUUGAAACUCCGUGUUUCUCAGCCACAGCCCAGAAACCUGUCUGAUCUAGAGAAGAUCUGUGUGGAGGAGUGGGCCAAAAUCCCUCCUGCAGUGUGUGCAAACAUGGUGAACAACUACAGGAAACGUUUGACCUCUGUAAUUGCACACAAAGGCUACUGUACCAAAUAUUAACACUGGUUCUCUCAUGUGUUCAAAUACUUAUUUCCUGCUGUAUCACACAAAUAAAUUGUUAAAAAAAAAUCAUACAUUGUAAUUUCUGGACUUUUCUUUUUCGAUUAUCUCUUUCACAGUGGACAUGCACCUACAAUGAAAUUUCAGACCCCUCCCUGAUUUCUAAGUGGGAGAACUUGCAACAUAGUAGGGUGUUCAAAUACUUAUUUUCUUCACCGUACCUGUGUAGUCGUAUUAUAUCUAAUACAAGAGCUGUAUCAGAAAUUCUGCCGUCACUAAGAAGCAACUUAUUUUUCAAAGGUGUUAAUAGUAUUUCCAUCCAUCCAUCUAUUCUCUGAGCUGCUUAUCCUCACGAGGGUCGCGGGAGUGCUGGAGCCAAUCGCAGCUGUCAUCGGGCAGGAAGCGGGGUACACCCUGAACUGCUUGCCAGCCAAUCACAGUGCGGCAUAACGAGUGUUAUUUUCCCCUUCGUUAUUGCACCGCAUGGGGGUCCUCCUGCGAUUCUUCUUUUCCUUUCGGGCUUGUGGCGUUCGGGGUCGCCACGGCGCGUCAUCCUUUUAUCGCUCUCCUGCACCCUCCUCUCGGGCACCAACUGCUCUCAUCUCAUCCAUCAACCUUCCCUUCGGUCUUCCUCGGGCUCUUUUGCCCGGCAGCUCCGUCCUUCGUCAUCCUUCGACCAAUAUACUCACUCUCUCGCCUCUGGACGUGUCCAAACCAUCCAAAUCUGCUCUAACCUUUGUCUCCAAAACAUGUAACCUUGGCUGCCCCUCCGAAGAGCUUAUUUCUGUCUCUCUCCAACCCGGUGACCCCCCAGAGAGAACCUCAACCUCUUCAUUUCCACCAUCUCCAGCUUCCCGUUGUCUCGUCUUAGCCGCACAUCAUUGCUAACCUCAUAAAAACUUUGCCCUUCAUCGUAGCAGAGAUUUUUCCGUUACAUAACACACCUGACACUUUGCUCCUCCCAUUCCACCGAGCACAGAUUUUUCCAAAUUUCGCAAAUAAGAUACAGUAUGUGAAAUAAUGUAUGUCAUGAUGUACAUAUCUGCAAUAACGGCUAAUUAUGAACAUUAUGGAUACCGUAAUUCCAAGCCUUCAGAGCGCACCUGGUUAUAAGCCUCACCCAGUACUUUUGUCAAGGAAAUACCAUUUGGUACAUACAUACGCCGCAGCUGUGUAAAAGCCGCAAGUGCCCACAUUGAAACACGAGAUAUUUACAAAGAAUGACCGUACACAGAGAGUUUAACAGUAGCCCUGCCAUGCUAAUGCUAAUGCUAGCGCUGCGCUAACAAGGCCGGUUAAAAAAAAACCUUCCUGUGUGACGGUCUGAGCGCUCCCCCAUGCUGAAAAGUCUCCUUGUGAUGAAUGCGCAUGCGUUGCUAACAGGGGAACUCUGGGCACGUAGCAGACGCUUACUGGGAAAUCUCCCGGUCUCAUCGUUCCCCUUCUUCUGGAGAGAGGGAGCUAACAUAUGCUAUAACCUAACCCUAACCUAACCUUAUAACAAAAGUUGAUGAAAAAAAAAAAAAAAGAUAUACACAUAUAUGUACGUUCGCUGUGUUCGUCUUUCUGAGACGUCCAUAGCGAACAUGAACACUUGGCGACAAGUUGUAGAAUGGCACAAGACUGCCCGGAAGUUUACAAAAUAUACGCGCAUGCGCAUUACUUACAAAGAGUCUUUGCCGCACCGGGAGCGCUCAGACCGUCACACCGGUUAAAAAAAAAAAAAAAAAAAAAAAAAUCACUGAGACACGGCAGUUACACGCUAGCGCAGGGCUAACAGGGCCGGACCGGUAAAAGUCACAUCCUCGGAACGUAUAUUCCACCGGUCUCACUCUUACCUUUUCCGCUCGAGCGCCCCCUUGUGGCUGUUAGAAAAAAUGCACAAAUUACCGCAUAAACGGUAGGGUUGAAAGCGUGCAAAAAAAAAAAAAAAUCACGGCUUAUAGGCCGAAAAUCACAGUAAAUACAGACACAAGCGCAUAUUUGGAACAUACAUUUAUGCAUAAUAAAUUGUCCUCCUGGUAUUUUUUUUUUUAUUUGUCCACUGAUAAACAAAAUGUUUCUAUUUUUUGAUGGUGGUCUUAUUUUAACUGUGAGCGACCAAUCAAUAAAAUUUCAUUGUACGUCGGUCUCGGAAUGAAUGAUUUAUUAAUUAAUUGCAUCAAGUUAUCCUGUUUUUCCUGCUAAAACAAGGGGUCCUCAGUUCAUGACAGAAGUUACUACUGCCAGAAUUUUCAUGUAUUUUAUGUUACAAUGUGUCAUUCACAAAAGGUAUAGACAUUUUGAAAAUAUAACCUCUAGGACAUAAAUAUACGACAAUGAAACUAAGAAAGCACGUCUGUCCUUCAUGCUUCAGGCUCGUCGUGAACGGAGAGCCCCCUGUAUUCUGAAAAAAAGUACUAAAUAUCUGAUCUACGGUUAAAUACGAUAAAAGAAUCCACGGAUUGCGGAGAUUCA